CGCGGGAUGGAACAGUCUGGUAGUUCAGCGGUCUCAUAAGCCGCAGGUCGUGGGUUCAAAUCCCACUCCCGCUC
rnacentral:tRNA from 1 species